rnacentral:rRNA from 1 species
UACAGAGGGUGCAAGCGUUGUUCGGAAUUACUGGGCGUAAAGCGCGUGUAGGCGGCUUAGCAAGUUGGGUGUGAAAGCCCUCGGCUCAACCGAGGAACUGCAUUCAAAACUACUAGGCUAGAGUAUCGGAGGGGGUGGCGGAAUUCCCGGUGUAGAGGUAAAAUUCGUAGAUAUCGGGAGGAACACCUGUGGCGAAGGCGGCCACCUGGAAGAUUACUGACGCUGAGACGCGAAAGCGUGGGGAGCAAACAGG